CGCGUAGGCGGGAAUGCAAGUCAGAUGUGAAAUCUCCGGGCUCAACCCGGAAACUGCAUUUGAAACUGUAUUUCUUGAGUGAUGGAGAGGCAAGUGGAAUUCCUAGUGUAGCGGUGAAAUGCGUAGAUAUAUGGAAGAACACCAGUGGCGAAGGCGGCUCUCUGGUCUGCAACUGACGCUGAGGCUCGAAAGCAUGGGUAGCGAACA
rnacentral:rRNA from 1 species